rnacentral:rRNA from 1 species
UCAGCCUACGGGAGGCAGCAGUGAGGAAUAUUGGUCAAUGGACGAGAGUCUGAACCAGCCAAGUAGCGUGAAGGAUGACUGCCCUAUGGGUUGUAAACUUCUUUUAUAUGGGAAUAAAAUGUUCCACGUGUGGGAUUUUGUAUGUACCAUAUGAAUAAGGAUCGGCUAACUCCGUGCCAGCAGCCGCGGUAAUACGGAGGAUCCGAGCGUUAUCCGGAUUUAUUGGGUUUAAAGGGAGCGUAGGUGGAUUGUUAAGUCAGUUGUGAACGUUAGCGGCUCGACCGUCAA